rnacentral:rRNA from 1 species
CUUCCAUCUGGAAGAAUCUGGAGACAGGUGCUGCAUGGCUGUCGUCAGCUCGUGUCGUGAGAUGUUGGGUUAAGUCCCGCAACGAGCGCAACCCUUGCCUUUAGUUGCCAGCAGUUCGGCUGGGCACUCUAAAGGGACUGCCGGUGUUAAACCGGAGGAAGGUGGGGAUGACGUCAAGUCCUCAUGGCCUUUAUGACCAGGGCUACACACGUACUACAAUGGCCGAUACAAAGGGCAGCGACACUGCGAGGUGAAGCCAAUCCCGUAAAAUCGGUCUCAGUCCGGAUUGGAGUCUGCAACUCGACCCCAUGAAGUUGGAAUCGCUAGUAAUCGUGGAUCAGCAUGCCACGGUGAAUACGUUCCCGGGCCUU